rnacentral:pre_miRNA from 1 species
GUUGAGGGGAAUGCUGUCUGGUUCGAGACCAUUUCUUUGAACAAUAUUACAUCAUCUGAAUGAUCUCGGACCAGGCUUCAUUCCCCUCAAC